GGUCCCGCCAUCACGCUGGAGGAGGCGCUGCGUUGGGUACCCCCGGAGCGGCGAGCUAAGGCCAGGGUGCUGGACGUGGCCGCUGGGACGGGCUGCGUGGGCCGCGAACUCCACCGGGAAGGCUUCAGGCACAUAGACGCUGUGGACCCGUCGGAGGGCAUGAUGAAGCAGCGGGAGACUGGCAUCUAUACCAACGACUUCCUGGAGUUUAUCGGCAGCGGACACUCCACCGUGCCCAAAGACACAUACGACCUGGUGGUCACCUCGGGCGGUAUGGGCGAAGGUCACAUCUCACACAGUGGCCUCGACGACGUUGUGCGCGUCGCAAAGAACGGUGAGUGAGUAAGUGAGCCUGC